AUACGUAGGGUGCAAGCGUUAAUCGGAAUUACUGGGCGUAAAGCGUGCGCAGGCGGUUUUGUAAGACCGAGGUGAAAUCCCCGGGCUCAACCUGGGAACUGCCUUUGUGAAUGCAAGGCUAGAGUACGGCAGAGGGGGAUGGAAUUUCCCGUGUAGCAGUGAAAUGCGUUGAUAUGCGGAGUAACACCGGUGGCGAAGGCAUCACCCUGGUCAUUUACUAACGCUCAAUCACGAAAGCGGGGGGAGCAAACAGGAGUAGAUACCCAGGUAGUCGACGCACUAAAGGGUGUCAACUGGUGGUUGGGUCUUCAUUGUCUCAGUAACGAAGCUAACGCAAUAAGUUGACCGCCUGGGGAGUACGGCCGCAAGGUUGAAACUCAAAUGAAUUGACGGGG
rnacentral:rRNA from 1 species